UACGUAGGAGACGAGCGUUGUCCGGAGUUACUGGGCGUAAAGGGUGCGCAGGUGGCGGCGCGCGUGGGGGGUGAAAUCGCCCGGCUUAACUGGGCGGGGGCCUUCCAGACGGCGUGGCUUGAGCAGCGGAGGGGGACGUGGAAUUCCGGGUGGAGCGGUGAAAUGCGUAGAGAUGUGGAGGAACACCAGUGGCGAAGGCGACUUUCUGGCCUAUAACUGACGCUGAGGCGCGAAAGCGUGGGGAGCAAACAGG
rnacentral:rRNA from 1 species